rnacentral:rRNA from 1 species
AGAGAUGUGUGAUGACGCAUAUCAAUAAGCGGAGGAAAAGAAACUAACAAGGAUUCCCUUAGUAACGGCGAGUGAAGCGGGAAGAGCUCAAAUUUGAAAUCUUCAAGGUUCUACCUUGACGAAUUGUAGUUUAUAGAAGUGUUUUCUGUUAGUAGAGUGGCAAAAGUUCUUUGGAAUAGGACAUCAUAGAGGGUGAGAAUCCCGUAUUUGGUCAUUCUUUCUAGCUUUGUGAUACACUUUCAACGAGUCGGAUUGUUUGGGAAUGCAGUCCAAAAUGGGUGGUAAAUUUCAUCUAAAGCUAAAUAUUGGCGAGAGACCGAUAGCGAACAAGUACCGUGAGGGAAAGAUGAAAAGAACUUUGAAAAGAGAGUUAAACAGUACGUGAAAUUGUCAAAAGGGAAGCGUUUGACACCAGUGUUGUUUUUCCGAAAAUCAAUUACGAAUGUUUUAUUUUUGAGAAGUUAUGACUUCAUCGGCUUGCUUCUCUUCUUUACUGAAACUUUCUUAAUGCACUUUUCGGUUAACAAGUCAACAUCAAUUUCUUUUGUUGUAAAAGGGUAUGAGGAAGGUGGCUUUCUUUUCGGAGAAAGUGUUUAUAGCCUUGUACCUCUGCAAUCGGAGAGAUUGAGGUCUGCAGCGUAGAUCCUUCGGGGUUAGAUACAUUUGUGCUAAGUUAUAGCUUUUCAUAGACAACUUGUUGACUAUGUUAAGUCUUGUAGCUUACUCGCUUAUGCUAUUUUACCUACGCUUAGGAUGUUGACGAUCAGCUGAGCGCG